GCGUUCGUAGCUCAGCGGUAGAGCGCCAGACUAUUAAUCUGGAGGUCGGUAGUUCAAAUCUACGCCGGAUGCA
rnacentral:tRNA from 1 species